UACGGAAGGGGCAAGCGUUGUUCGGAAUUAUUGGGCGUAAAGAGCUCGUAGGCGGUUCGUCGCGUCGGCUGUGAAAACCCGGAGCUCAACUCCGGGCCUGCAGUCGAUACGGGCGGACUUGAGUGUUGCAGGGGAGACUGGAAUUCCUGGUGUAGCGGUGAAAUGCGCAGAUAUCAGGAGGAACACCGGUGGCGAAGGCGGGUCUCUGGGCAACUACUGACGCUGAGGAGCGAAAGCGUGGGGAGCGAACAGG
rnacentral:rRNA from 1 species